AGGAGCUUGCUCCUGUGAUUAGUGGCGAACGGGUGAGUAACACGUGAGUAACCUGCCCCUGACUCUGGGAUAAGCGUUGGAAACGACGUCUAAUACUGGAUACGACUGCCGGCCGCAUGGUCUGGUGGUGGAAAGAUUUUUUGGUUGGGGAUGGACUCGCGGCCUAUCAGCUUGUUGGUGAGGUAAUGGCUCACCAAGGCGACGACGGGUAGCCGGCCUGAGAGGGUGACCGGCCACACUGGGACUGAGACACGGCCCAGACUCCUACGGGAGGCAGCAGUGGCAUAAUUGCACAAUGGGCGAAAGCCUGAUGCAGCAACGCCGCGUGAGGGAUGACGGCCUUCGGGUUGUAAACCUCUUUUAGUAGGGAAGAAGCGAAAGUGACGGUACCUGCAGAAAAAGCACCGGCUAACUACGUGCCAGCAGCCGCGGUAAUACGUAGGGUGCAAGCGUUGUCCGGAAUUAUUGGGCGUAAAGAGCUCGUAGGCGGUUUGUCGCGUCUGCUGUGAAAUCCCGAGGCUCAACCUCGGGCUUGCAGUGGGUACGGGCAGACUAGAGUGCGGUAGGGGAGAUUGGAAUUCCUGGUGUANCGGUGGAAUGCGCAGAUAUCAGGAGGAACACCGAUGGCGAAGGCAGAUCUCUGGGCCGUAACUGACGCU
rnacentral:rRNA from 1 species